rnacentral:tRNA from 1 species
GCAAACGUAUCGAAGAGGUCAUAACGAGCCGCACUCGAAAUGCGGUCGUCGGGUAACCGGCGCGUGGGUUUGAAUCCCACCGUUUGCG